UACGGAGGGUGCAAACGUUGCUCGGAAUUAUUGGGCGUAAAGCGUACGUAGGCGGUCCAGCAAGUCGGGUGUGAAAGGCCCUUGGCUUAACCAAGGAAAUGCAUUCGAAACUACUGGACUUGAAUACUGGAGAGGAUCGCGGAAUUCCCGGUGUAGAGGUGAAAUUCGUAGAUAUCGGGAGGAACACCAGUGGCGAAGGCGGCGAUCUGGACAGAUAUUGACGCUGAUGUACGAAAGCGUGGGGAGCAAACAGG
rnacentral:rRNA from 1 species